AGUCGAGCGAACGGACGAGAAGCUUGCUUCUCUGAUGUUAGCGGCGGACGGGUGAGUAACACGUGGAUAACCUACCUAUAAGACUGGGAUAACUUCGGGAAACCGGAGCUAAUACCGGAUAAUAUUUUGAACCGCAUGGUUCAAAAGUGAAAGACGGUCUUGCUGUCACUUAUAGAUGGAUCCGCACUGCAUUAGCUAGUUGGUAAGGUAACGGCUUACCAAGGCAACGAUGCAUAGCCGACCUGAGAGGGUGAUCGGCCACACUGGAACUGAGACACGGUCCAGACUCCUACGGGAGGCAGCAGUAGGGAAUCUUCCGCAAUGGGCGAAAGCCUGACGGAGCAACGCCGCGUGAGUGAUGAAGGUCUUCGGAUCGUAAAACUCUGUUAUUAGGGAAGAACAUAUGUGUAAGUAACUGUGCACAUCUUGACGGUACCUAAUCAGAAAGCCACGGCUAACUACGUGCCAGCAGCCGCGGUAAUACGUAGGUGGCAAGCGUUAUCCGGAAUUAUUGGGCGUAAAGCGCGCGUAGGCGGUUUUUUAAGUCUGAUGUGAAAGCCCACGGCUCAACCGUGGAGGGUCAUUGGAAACUGGAAAACUUGAGUGCAGAAGAGGAAAGUGGAAUUCCAUGUGUAGCGGUGAAAUGCGCAGCAGAUACGGAGGAACACCAGUGGCGAAGGCGACUUUCUGGUCUGUAACUGACGCUGAUGUGCGAAAGCGUGGGGAU
rnacentral:rRNA from 1 species